ACUGUGGGCCCAUGCCCACUUCUAGACAGAGAGAGAGGACAGGGACAAAUCCUUCCUACUGUGACAUCAUCGCUUUCUCCCUACUGCCACUAUCCACCCCCCACCACCACAACACCAGCAGCAGCCGCCACCACAACACCACCAGCAGCAAGGCUUCUUGCAGAUAAACUCCUGGCCAAACCCUGAGCCCCUGGCAGAGCCUCCAAUAGAGAACCUGACAGCAGCUAUGGGGGACUUGGAUCAGAAAAUCCAAGUGAGAGGACGCAGAAGCCAGAGACACCCCCCCCCCAGAGAUGGAGGAGCUUGGUGAAGUCAGAUGCCAUGGUCCUAGACUAAGCGCAGGAGGAUUUACCAGUGGAAACAAUCUCACACAAUCCUGUUAAGUACACACCACCAAGGAAUGGCGGGCCUCGGGACGGGGCUGCUUCCCCCCGGCCCUGCCCAGCAGAGCAGAUGGCGGCGUGGGCGAAGUCUCUAACUGAUGCUUCCUCUAAGAAGAGCUGCUCUUAUGCCAACCAAGUGCACGUGGCUGUCGGGGACGUGAGGCCGUGUUGUAUCUGCGGAGAGCGACCCCGCCGUGUGCUGCCUGUGGUGUCUGAUGUGGGUCCUGGAUGCUGGGAAUGAUGGGCCUCCGCCAUGUCAAGUAACCUCAUGCUGCCUGGGGGACUGGUCUGGACGGCUGCACCCUGCCUGCCUGCCUCAGCCUUUCUGGAGACCUGGCCUUGCUCUCGGAGCUCCUGGCAGGAAAAGGGAGACGAGGACAGACUCGUACAGAAAAAAGAAUGCGUGAAGAUGGAGAGGAUGGAUUCCACAGCCGGAGGGAAGCUUUUGAAACCAGCCCUCCCUGCCAAUACCACCAUCACCACCAUCAUAGCCAGCACCGCCGACACCGCUACUGUUACUGCGCUUCAUGUGGUGUGAGCUCGUCCCCACCGAGGCAAUCUUGAGAGACAUGUGGCCGCUCUCCCCAACAAAAGCUCUUACCACUGUGGUAUCUGCUGGAAGGUGCCCGUCAGAGCUGAGCUGAGCUGAUGCCGGUACCAUUAUCUUGAAAGCCCUAGACCUAGAUAAACUUCUUUGCUUCA